rnacentral:rRNA from 1 species
AUUGAACGCUGGCGGCAGGCCUAACACAUGCAAGUCGAACGGUAGCACAGAGAGCUUGCUCUCGGGUGACGAGUGGCGGACGGGUGAGUAAUGUCUGGGAAACUGCCUGAUGGAGGGGGAUAACUACUGGAAACGGUAGCUAAUACCGCAUAACGUCGCAAGACCAAAGAGGGGGACCUUCGGGCCUCUUGCCAUCAGAUGUGCCCAGAUGGGAUUAGCUAGUAGGUGGGGUAACGGCUCACCUAGGCGACGAUCCCUAGCUGGUCUGAGAGGAUGACCAGCCACACUGGAACUGAGACACGGUCCAGACUCCUACGGGAGGCAGCAGUGGGAAAUAUUGCACAAUGGGCGCAAGCCUGAUGCAGCCAUGCCGCGUGUAUGAAGAAGGCCUUCGGGUUGUAAAGUACUUUCAGCGGGGAGGAAGGCAAUACGGUUAAUAACCGUGUUGAUUGACGUUACCCGCAGAAGAAGCACCGGCUAACUCCGUGCCAGCCGCCGCGGUAA